AACGAACGCUGGCGGCAUGCCUAACACAUGCAAGUCGAACGAGACCUUCGGGUCUAGUGGCGCACGGGUGCGUAACGCGUGGGAAUCUGCCCUUGGGUUCGGAAUAACAGUUAGAAAUGACUGCUAAUACCGGAUGAUGACGUAAGUCCAAAGAUUUAUCGCCCAGGGAUGAGCCCGCGUAGGAUUAGCUAGUUGGUGAGGUAAAGGCUCACCAAGGCGACGAUCCUUAGCGGUCUGAGAGGAUGAUCAGCCACACUGGGACUGAGACACGGCCCAGACUCCUACGGGAGGCAGCAGUGGGGAAUAUUGGACAAUGGGCGAAAGCCUGAUCCAGCAAUGCCGCGUGAGUGAUGAAGGCCUUAGGGUUGUAAAGCUCUUUUACCCGGGAUGAUAAUAGACAGUACCGGGAGAAUAAGCCCCGGCUAACUCCGUGCCA
rnacentral:rRNA from 1 species